UCCGAGUUGACCCCGGCAGUCUCCUAUGAGUCCCCACCAUGACGUGCUGGCAACAUAGAACGAGGGUUGCGCUCGUUGCGGGACUUAACCCAACAUCUCACGACACGAGCUGACGACAGCCAUGCAGCACCUGUGUUCCGAUUCCCUUUCGGGCACAGCUGGAUCUCUCCAGCCUCUCGGACAUGUCAAGGGUAGGUAAGGUUUUUCGCGUUGCAUCGAAUUAAUCCACAUAAUCCACCGCUUGUGCGGGUCCCCGUCAAUUCCUUUGAGUUUUAACCUUGCGGCCGUACUCCCCAGGCGGUCGACUUCACGCGUUAGCUUCGUUACUGAGAGUGUCAAACCCCCAACGUCUAGCAUCCAUCGUUUACAGCGUGGACUAC
rnacentral:misc_RNA from 1 species